UGCUACUUCCGCGAUUUCUGCGAUUUCUGCUACUUCUGUGAUUUCUGUGACUUCUGCUACUUCUGCGAUUUCUGUGACUUCUGCUACUUCUGCGAUUUCUGUGACUUCUGCUACUUCUGCGAUUUCUGUGACUCCUGCGAUUUCUGCGACUUACCACCGCAUGAAAAAGCUACAUCUGUCCACACAGAAAAUUGCAUCUCAACAAACAUGUCAUUGGUACCCGAACUACAUUUCAGUCACUCAGUAAACUGAUAACUCAAAAUAUCAUUGUCAGCAGAUCUGGAGAAAUUGCCACUGCGUCUUUAGACCGUUUUCGUCAGACGAGAGACACAGUUCUGGUUGCUGUACGUAUCUAUCCACAUCAAGGCUGUAGGGAGAGACUCGUGAAGAUUCAAGAGAGCUCUUAGAGGAUUUGCAGUUUAAAAGUGACAUUAUUGCGAAAUAAGUGUGCAGAUGAGUG